GGUAUGUAAGUAUGAAUAAUAAGCUAAAUUUACAUAUACCUAGCGAAGUUUAGCACUUAAUUUCAAUUUCUUUGAUGGUUGCGUCUAGUUGAUGAUAGACACACAAAGUUUAAGCCAGAAAGUGUUAAAAAUCACCACUGUAGAGGAAAUCAGCCAUCUUUUGAAUGCGAACAAGCCAAUGGCAUUUCUAACUUAUUCUGACCUAUUUUAUCCCACCGCGUUGGCACUAAACUACACAGAAAUUUUUAUUUGCUCGCACAUUUCCAAGGUUCAAGUCAGCCCUGUUUUAUACAAGAGUGGAAUGUUUCUUAAAAAAGGGUCAGAAUAUACGGAAAUUUUGAAUCACAAAAUAAUAAUCAUGAAGGAGAGAGGCUUCAACCACAGGUAUAUUCGUACGUAUGAAACAAACAACAUUUUUCCAUGCGGAGGCGCAUCUAGCAGUACUGCAGACCCUAUCGAAUUUACUGAUGUACUUACAGCAUUUUUAGUAGCAUGUUCAGGGUUGCUUGUAUCUGUAACUUUAUUAGGAAUUGAAAUCUUGUACAGUAAACUCGACAAAGUUUUCCGAGUAAAAAAACAUUAAAGAAAUGUAAAAUAACUCAACUAAUUAUCAAUAA